UGAGGAAUUUUGCGCAAUGGCCGCAAGGCUGACACAGCAACGCCGCGUGGGUGAUGAAGGCCUUCGGGUCGUAAAGCCCUGUCAGGUGGGAAGAAAGGCAUCUUUUCGAACAGGGGGGAUGUUUGACGGUACCACCAGAGGAAGCACCGGCUAACUCCGUGCCAGCAGCCGCGGUAAUACGGAGGGUGCGAGCGUUAUUCGGCAUUACUGGGCGUAAAGCGCGUGCAGGCGGGAAGGUAAGUCUGAUGUGAAAGCCCCGGGCUUAACCCGGGAAGUGCAUUGGAAACUGCUGUUCUUGAGUACUGGAGAGGAAGGGGGAAUUCCCGGUGUAGAGGUGAAAUUCGUAGAGAUCGGGAGGAAUACCAGUGGCGAAGGCGCCCUUCUGGACGGUUACUGACGCUGAGACGCGAAAGCGUGGGGAGCAAACA
rnacentral:rRNA from 1 species